GAGAAAACAAACAAACAAACAAAUCCUCCUCCCCCGCCAAACCGCGAUCCAAAUGAGGGAUCGGGGGAUUUUCUUUCUUUCUUUUUUUUUUUUUUACCCCUCUCUUUUCUGAUUUUUAACGAAUUGAUUAUUUCCUUCCCUCCGAGCUCCAGCCCGGGCUGUCGGAGGAAGGAGAGGCACAAAACGAAAGCCGGCGUCAAGUACUGAUCUCUCUGUCUCCCUUUCCAUUAUCCCCUCCUUUUCCCAUCACAUUCCCUCCUCCCACAGAAAGGUUUUAAUAUGAGCACACCUUUGAGGACCCACAAUCCUUAACCAAUGAGGAAAACCCCCAAGGAGCUGGUGGAGACUUCAGCCCUUCCUUCUCCAAAACAUAUCUUCACAAAUCAGAACUGGCCAAUUAAAUACCACUGCUAUGAGGA
ensembl:lncRNA